UCGAGCGGCAGCACAAGGGAGUUUACUUCUGAGGUGGCGAGCGGCGGACGGGUGAGUAAUGCCUAGGGAUCUGCCCAGUCGAGGGGGAUAACAGUUGGAAACGACUGCUAAAACCGCAUACGCCCUACGGGGGAAAGGAGGGGACCUUCGGGCCUUCCGCGAUUGGAUGAACCUAGGUGGGAUUAGCUAGUUGGUGAGGUAAUGGCUCACCAAGGCGACGAUCCCUAGCUGUUCUGAGAGGAUGAUCAGCCACACUGGGACUGAGACACGGCCCAGACUCCUACGGGAGGCAGCAGUGGGGAAUAUUGCACAAUGGGGGAAACCCUGAUGCAGCCAUGCCGCGUGUGUGAAGAAGGCCUUCGGGUUGUAAAGCACUUUCAGUAGGGAGGAAAGGGUGUAGUUUAAUACGCUAUAUCUGUGACGUUACCUACAGAAGAAGGACCGGCUAACUCCGUGCCAGCAGCCGCGGUAAUACGGAGGGUCCGAGCGUUAAUCGGAAUUACUGGGCGUAAAGCGUGCGCAGGCGGUUUGUUAAGCGAGAUGUGAAAGCCCUGGGCUCAACCUAGGAAUAGCAUUUCGAACUGGCGAACUAGAGUCUUGUAGAGGGGGGUAGAAUUCCAGGUGUAGCGGUGAAAUGCGUAGAGAUCUGGAGGAAUACCGGUGGCGAAGGCGGCCCCGUGGACAAAGACUGACGCUCAUGCACGAAAGCGUGGGGAGCAAACAGGAUUAGAUACCCUGGUAGUCCACGCCGUAAACGAUGUCUACUCGGAAUUUUGGUGUCUUGAACACUGGGCUCUCAAGCUAACGCAUUAAGUAGCCCGCCUGGGGGAGUACGGCCGCAAGGUUAAAACUCAAAUGAAUUUGACGGGGGCCCGCACAAGCGGUGGAGCAUGUGGUUUAAUUCGAUGCAACGCGAAGAACCUUACCUACUCUUGACAUCCACAGAACUUUCCAGAGAUGGAUUGGUGCCUUCGGGAACUGUGAGACAGGUGCUGCAUGGCUGUCGUCAGCUCGUGUUGUGAAAUGUUGGGUUAAGUCCCGCAACGAGCGCAACCCCUAUCCUUAUUUGCCAGCACGUAAUGGUGGGAACUCUAGGGAGACUGCCGGUGAUAACCCGGAGGAAGGUGGGGACGACGUCAAGUCAUCAUGGCCCUUACGAGUAGGGCUACACACGUGCUACAAUGGCGAGUACAGAGGGUUGCAAAGCCGCGAGGUGGAGCUAAUCUCACAAAGCUCGUCGUAGUCCGGAUUGGAGUCGGCAACUCGACUCCAGGAAGUCGGAA
rnacentral:rRNA from 1 species